rnacentral:rRNA from 1 species
UAGGGAAUCUUCCACAAUGGACGAAAGCCUGAUGGAGCAACGCCGCGUGUGUGAUGAAGGGUUUCGGCUCGUAAAACACUGUUGUAAGAGAAGAAUGACGUUGAGAGUAACUGUUCAAUGUGUGACGGUAUCUUACCAGAAAGGAACGGCUAAGUACGUGCCAG